UACGAAGGGGGCUAGCGUUGUUCGGAAUUACUGGGCGUAAAGCGCGCGUAGGCGGCUUCGCAAGUCAGAGGUGAAAGCCCGGGGCUCAACCCCGGAAUUGCCUUUGAGACUGCGUCGCUAGAAUCCGGGAGAGGUGAGUGGAAUUCCGAGUGUAGAGGUGAAAUUCGUAGAUAUUCGGAAGAACACCAGUGGCGAAGGCGGCUCACUGGACCGGCAUUGACGCUGAGGAGCGAAAGCGUGGGGAGCGAACAGG
rnacentral:rRNA from 1 species